CCCACGCGCUAAGCCUCCCAAUGCGUGCUUAUCGCCUAUGCUCGAUACAGUUAGCUUCCAGCUUGGCCUCACCCGCGGAGCGUGCACUGGCACGUUGAGCGAGCUGCUUUAACUCUUCAACAUCUUUCAAACCUAUGUUACUAUGUCAAAACUCUACAAAAAAAAAAAUAGAACUAAAACACUAUAAAUUGACAAACUUUAACAUUCUCGGGAUGAAAAUAAGAAGAAACUAAAUUCCUAUCUUUUUAAGUCAAAAGAAGCAUUGAAAGAGAAAAAAAAAUUAGAUAGUUGCUAUGUAAUUUAAAUGUACAAACUAAGUAUGCAUAACAAUUAUCAAAGUGUGAGGUGAAAUCCUAUAUUGGUUAGGAAUGGAAAGUUGAACAACAUAUAAAUGAAGAAAAGAUACAUAAACCCAAGUUUUAGAUUUUGGGUUAAAUUGUAAUGUCAAACUCACUUAUAUGAUUGACUCGGUGACCCAUUGGUGAAGAUCCCUUAGUGUUUACCCACCUCAAAUGCCCAAAAAUUGGGAUCAAAACCAAUGAUUUAACAUGAUGACCAUGUCGAACGAGUAAGAUAGUGGAAAUGAAUCCUAGCUAUGAGGAUCUCUUUAUCGAAAGUUUACCUAACGGUGGAGGUCAAGUGGCAUGUUCGAUGGCCUUGAAGUAGUGGAACGACAUUGCAAGUAACUAGAACAUGUUGACAAUAAUAAUUCAGGGCGAGCAGCGGACAGGUUUGGGCGAACUUGGGUAAAAAAACUCAACUGAUAAUGAACCCAAACUAGCAAAUAGAUGACCCCUUUGCACCCAAAAAUCCCUUCGGAUUGGGCGGGUAAUGAGUCAAUAGGGUGUCGGACAGAUAUGUGCGGGUGAUACACAUCUUCGUACUCUCCAUAGUUAACAACCAAGAAAAAAAAAACAAUAGAAAAAAGAUGGAACCAAAAUGAAUGAGUAGAAUCAUACAGAAAAAUGAUUGCAUCAUGAGACCCGUCACUCUACGCAUGCCUACCAGCUCGGUACGUCCUUUGAUGGCACCUACACGACCAUGUCCAUCUUUACAUGAUGAUCAACGAGUAAGAAGAGAGGUUCAAGCAAGAGAAAAAGGC
rnacentral:lncRNA from 1 species